CCUACGGGUGGCAGCAGUUGAGAAUCAUUCACAAUGGGGGAAACCCUGAUGGUGCGACGCCGCGUGGGGGAAUGAAGUUCUUCGGAUUGUAAACCCCUGUCAUGGGGGAGCAAAUUAAAAAGAUAGUACCACAAGAGGAAGAGACGGCUAACUCUGUUCCAGCAGCCGCGCUAAUACAGAGGUCUCAAGCGUUGUUCGGAAUCACUGGGCGUAAAGCGUGCGUAGGCGGUUUCGUAAGUCGUGUGUGAAAGGCGCGGGCUCAACCCGCGGACGGCACAUGAUACUGCGAGACUAGAGUAAGGGAGGGGGAACCGGAAUUCUCGGUGUAGCAGUGAAAUGCGUAGAUAUCGAGAGGAACACUCGUGGCGAAGGCGGGUUCCUGGACAUUAACUGACGCUGAGGCACGAAGGCCAGGGGAGCGAAAGGGAUUAGAUACCCGAGUAGUC
rnacentral:rRNA from 1 species